rnacentral:lncRNA from 1 species
ACCCAUCAUAUUGAAAAAUGCUUUUCAUCACCUGGAACACAGCAGCACAACAGACUAAAAAGUGCACGGCUGUGGGAGCCAGCCUGAAGGAGCUUCAAUUCCGGCUCCCAUCACACUAAACCUGGGAAACAGAUUAAAGAUGAUGAACAGAAGCUUACAGAGAACUCACUUGUCCAAGGACAUCAGCAGCAGAGACCGCCUGAAGUUGAUAAACCAGAAGCCUAGUGAAAGACCCUGUAGAUAAGAAGCAGAUAUUAGCCUUCCUUCAAUCAUAAAGGAAGUGCAAGAUUCAGAUAAGAAGGGCAGAUCGUCGUA